CCGGCCCCGUACCAGUAAGUGUCCAGAGUUACUUUGACCCCUGGAGGCAGCCUGAUCCGAUGGAGAGGGCAGUGGAUUGGGAACUGGAAGACCUCACUUCUAUUCCUGUCUGUUUGACCUUAGACAAAUCAUUUCACCUCUCUGUGCUUCUGUUUUCCCAUCCACUCUUUGUGCAUCUUAGCUAUUUAGAUUGUAAGCUCUCUGCAGCAGGGACCGUCUUUUACUAUACGUUUGUACAGUGCUUAGCACAAUGGGGCUCUGAUCUUGGUUGAGGCCUCUAUUAUUAUAAUAAAAAUAGUUAAUAAAUUAAGUAAGAGUUUAUUUUAUAAAUGACCAAAUAAUACAACAGAAUAGAGCAACAUGACAGAGAACAUAUAAAGUAAUUGGGUCUUUGGUUGCUGGGCUUCACUUACAUUUUUACAAUGGAGUUUUUCAGAGUAGUAUACAUUUUGCUUAGGAAGAUUAUGUACCUAUGGAUUCAUCAUGGUGAAUCAAACAUAUGAGAUACACAAGUAACUGCAGUUAUCUAAUUUGGCCACAGUUGAUGUGCAAAGAAAGGAUCUCCCAGCAGAUGGGCAGCUUGUAUACAGGAUUUUGUUUCUUUGGUUUUGCUGAGAGUUUCAGCUAGCUGUUUUGAAGUGAUGAAUUUGUCCAUUUAUUUACAGAGUUGCACGAAGCAGUUCAUGGAGUCUCUGCAAUGAAUUAUGACUCUCAGUGAAUGUGGCUAUAGUUCCAGUUUGUAUACUUAGUGUAAAAGCGGUCUCCUUUCUUCUUUCCCUUCCUUUCAAAAGUGUAUUUUAUAUGAUCAGCCACCUGUGCUGAGAAAACCAUGACCCUGAACUCCAAUUAUGUAGGCCUGAUGUUAGCGAGGCUUUUUACUUGCCUAUUAAAAUUAAACAAACACAGCAUUAAACAUUUGAUUCAGGUUUGUAAUUUAGAUGAAAGCUAGAAGUGACUUUUCUAGGGAAGGGGGCUAGACAAGGUGCCAGGUGUGACAAAACAGUUAGUGAUUCAUUUAAAAACAAUUGACAGGAUAGAGAAUAGGAAGAAUGUGGCAAAGGAGGGAGAAAGAGAGGUGGAUUUUUAUUUCUGCAGUCUCUAAAGUAUUCUGUGAAUGAAAAGUCAUGGAUUUGCUUAAGCUAUAGAUACAACAGAGAUGGGACAUUAAUCUGCUCAUUGAUCUACUUCUUGUAAAAUCCAAAUGCUUUUUUGAUUUUACUUCUAGCUAUACAUUAUAUACUCCAGAGUUAAUUAUUAAAAGAGAAUUCAUUCCUUUGUACUACACUAUUUUAGUGGUAUUUUAUGGCACUAUUGCCAUGGAUACAUGCAGUAAUAGUUUUCAGUGUGUCCUCCAGAUUAACCUCUGAAAUCCUCAGAUCUUUCCUCCACAUAUGCCUUUCCUCUAUAUGGAUAUGAAAUCCAGAACUAUGGAUAACGCUAGCAGUGUACUCAAAGGUACAAUAUUUCUAAAAUUCUACAUACAGGUAUUUACCAUAGUGUUUAGUAGCCCAGAAAUAAAAAUGUUGUGCAAUAAAGAAAUCUUUGCAGUCAUCUGAUAGAUUAAUCUGGCUAUUACUAGAAUUGGAACCAUGAGUUACAAAUCGAUUCUCUUCCUCCUUUGAAUAACCCAAUUCUCUUUUUUUGGAAGUCAGAGACAAAACUCUCAGAUGGAGCAGGUCCAGGCACCAAAUCUUUAUUUACAAUCUACAUCAAUGAACAAUACUGAGUGUGUGGGCAGAUUGUAGGCCAAAUCCAAUCCAGUACACUUUGGAAAUGGACUGAUGAGGCCAAAUUUUGAUUUUGCAAAAAAACAAAUCUCCUUCAGAUCUAGAUUCCAUUUUAUCUUAAUUAGUAUGCUGUUUCCCCCCCCCCCCCCAUCUCUGUAUACACUGUGACAAAAGUUCCUCCUUUACCUUGGUGGAUCUUGCGCUUAUUGACAGAUUUGCUUGCCUCGGAGAUUCACGGCAGCCCUCAGUUUGGCCAUUUUCGUGAACCUACAGUCCAGGUCAACUCCUCCUGUGUCUGAUCAGGAGUUGGGAGGUUUGGGGGGAACCCAGGCCCACCCUCGAUUCUGGGUUCCAGCCCAGGGCCCUGAGGAAUGCAGCUGUCUAGAGUGCCUCCUGGAACAGCUGUGCAACAGCUACAACUCCUUGGGCUACUUCCCUAUGGCCUCCUCCCAACACCUUCUUUAUCUUCACCAUAGGACCUUCCUCCUGGUGUCUGAUAAUGCUUGUACUCCUCAGUUCUCCAGCAGUAUGCCUUCUCAUUCUCAGCUCCUAGUGCCUCUUGCUCCCAGCUCCUCACACACGCACCACAAACCAAACUGAGCUCCUUUUUAAACCCAGGUGCCCUGAUUAGCCUGCCUUAAUUGAUUCUAGCAGCUUCUUGAUUGGCUGCAGGUGUUCUAAUCAGCCUGUCUGCCUUAAUUGUUUCCAGAAAGUUCCUAAUUUUUCUGGAACCUUCCCUGUUACCUUACCCAGGGAAAAGGGACUUACUUAACCUGGGACUAAUAUAUCUGCCUUCUAUUACUCUCCUGUAGCCAUCUGGCCCAACCCUGUCACAACACAUACAACUGAGAAGGAGAAAAUCAGAUCAGGUUAAAUACAAAAUGACCUAGACCCAGGCCCAUCACUCACACCUGACAGUUUUUUGUUUUGUCAUGCCUUUUUUGAGGAAUGGUGGUGGACAGGGCUUAAGCUUUUAAAAAGUUUGACUAACUUUCUACUUUUUUGGAUUACUGCUGCCUGGACUGAAAGCAUUGAGAUUCUGUAAGCACUGGGGCUUUCCCUGUAUUGCAGCCAAUGUACCCAAUAUCGGGAAGCACAGGUUUUCUCAGCAGAAAUUGUCUUGUGAAAUUCCCAAUUGGAGACCUAGAGCAAACAGAUUCAGCUUCUUAUCUAAAUAUAACCCCCAAACCUGAGGCCUAAUGUUGAGAGCUGAUGAACAGCUGUAACUCCCACUGAAGUCAAUGGCAUUGUGGGUGUGACAAUGCAGGGCAUCUGUACUUGUAUUAUUCCCCUGUGGUCCAGGAAGGGCAUCCACUCUCACGCUUCUGGCUCCCCAACCAUCACCUCUGUUGGGCAAAGACCCAUGUCUGUCUUCGUCCUAACUGGGGUAUUUCUGGCUGCACAGCUCCCUGCCACCACUGAGCGUUCCCCAGCGCAUCAGACUGUGCAAACAGGUCUGCUUUGCUUUUCUCCUCAAGGCUAUAAUCAGUGAAAUUGCCCGCCAUUUUAAGUUACCACACAGCUUUUCCUAAGCAAGCACAUUUAUUGUUAAGGUAAAAGCACUACAAAAAAAAGUACUAAAACAAUAAAAGAGCCCAUGUGCAUGCUAAUAAGAUUACCAGCAAUCACCCCCUAUCUCCACAAGGGCGCUAGUGAAUGUCAGUCCUUCCAACCCUUGCCUAAGGUUUGGGGCUCUCCCUUUGAACAGAAGGUCCUCUCUGAUUGCUGGAUCAGAAAGGAGGAUCUCAAUCAGUUUAUUCUAUAAUUCUAUAAUUCAGUCUAGUUAUCCAAUAGUCCUUUUUUUUUUUGUCUGUUGGCCUCUAGAGAAUCUACUUUGAACUAAUGUAGACAAGGAUCCCCAAGAAAGUGACACACUCAGGCUGUAACACCUCCAGAGCGGGAUUUGCCUAAUCACCUCCAACUGUUCUGAGUUCCUGAAGGGGCUACGGUCACCGUCCCCAAAUUAAUAUCUGUAUUAAUUAUUUUAGGCCAGGUAUUGUAAGGGCUCCCAAAACUAUUGUAGGAAAUUUGCCAUAUCUGCCAACAUGGGCACACAGGAUGUUCCAAGAUCCUGCCCCGUUGAGGUUCACCCAUCACUCCAUAUGCAUCUUCCCAAAGGCUCAGGAACAGGAGAUCUGAUCUUUUAACGGUAUUUUGAGGGGUUAGGUUGGGUUUAGGUGCAUGUGCCUUGUACUAGCCCCAUGCACAGAGGUCAGUUUCACCCAUGAAUAGUCUAAUGUGAUUAUUCAAAUAAAGACUGCUUACAUGAACAUAGGCUGAAGGAUUGGGCCCAAGAAAAAAAACUCUCUGUGAAAAGUUAUUCUUUUUAAAAAUAGCUUCUCUCUUCCCCAUGGAUACUUUGUUUUUUAAAUAAUUACAAAUAUAACAUUUUGUACAGUAAAACAAGAUCCAUUACAUGUGAUUUUAUCAGCAGUGUACACAACAGCUAAUGCAAUCCAGCUGACAUUAUUACUCUCCAUUAAAGCACUUAGAGUGAAAAAGUACAACAAUAUUUAUGGAUUGCAUUAGUGCCAUUGUAAGAAGCCUCAGACUACAUAAAAGCCCUUUAUAUCUACAGAGGGAAGCAAUUAUAACACUUCUAAAAAUGUAAUAGUCUGUAUGAUCCAGGAUUUGUAUAUAAAUGUCUGAACAGUGAAGGUUGAGCAUGCACCAUCAGAGCUAUGUCCUUACUAAUACUGUGUGUGUAUUACAAGUUAUUCUCUAUGCUAAGCCACAAAUGAUAUGAAUUGGCAAGAUUUUGUAUAUGGCAUCUAUAACUUUUAAGCUCAAGUUGUAGCAGCUUAGGCUUUUAGGCCUGGAGGUCCCCAAUAUGUCAGCCAAAAUGGUAGCUGUCACACAUAAUCAGAUACAAGGCCAAGAAAGAGAAAUCUUAAACACACAGAAAAUGACUGAUCUCUACAUGGCCUGGGUGAGCACCUACCUUCUGCAAAACAGAACACAGGAGGUGGUCAAAAACAUUACCUGUGAGGAGGGACAAGAUAUUUCAGAGGGUAUUGAAGUCAAUGGGACUUAAGCACAUGCUUAAAGUUAAGCGCUUUCCUGAAUUGAGGUUAAUGUGCCUACCUGCAUUUAGCAACUAAAAUUUGGCCCUUACCUUUCAAAACUGAGGGUGAAAACAUGUCCCCAUUGAAGUCAAUGGCAAAACUCCCAUUGACUUCAAUAGGGGUAGGAUUUCACCAAGUAUUGUGAACCUUGUAUAGAAAAUGCAAAAUGGCCAUUGAGAAAAUCUAUAGCUGCAGUAACUAAUGUAGCAAGCUGUGCAGUGAUAAAGGAAAGCUCUGGCUGAGAAGACUGCUUGCUCGAUUAUAAUUUCAGAAUUCUAAUUUAAACUCAGAUUUGAAAGGUUUAAUUUUUUCCUCUCAUAUACACUACUGUUAAUCAGGAGUACCUCCACCAACAUCAACUCUUGUAAAGCUGCUGUAAUGGAGGGGAAAAGAGCGCAGUAUCUUUUUCCAAAGUACUUCUCACACACAGUUAAAGACAUAUCUUGGCAGAAUGAAAUUAACAAACAGUUUAGAAAUGUUGUAU